GGUGGGGUGCCGGAGCGGCUAAACGGCCCGGUCUUGAAAACCGUGGAGAAAGCAAUUUCUACGUGGGUUCGAAUCCCACCCCCACCGCCU
rnacentral:tRNA from 1 species